GUCAGUAUCCCGGGUCAGCACCAGAAUAUCUCCUGCAUAUAAUUGAAACUUCGGGGAAGCCAAUCAUACCCACAGAAAUAUUGAGGCUACAUUUGGCUUCAAGUCAUCUACCCUCCAGGACAGACAAUGUUAACGUCACAUGAGAAGAUGCAGCUUCUUGUAGCAGUGCUGCUAACCAUGACAUUCUGUUUAUCCUCUGGGGAUAAUAUAGAGCAGAAGGAGACAGAACUGUUCAAAGAGGAAGGAGAGACGGCUUCACUGGAAUGUACCUUCAGCGUGAGCAGCACUUACUAUUGGGUUCAUUGGUACCGUCAGUAUCCUGGAACAGCACCACAGUUAAUACUGUUCAGUGGGACAAGGAGCUACACUGCAGAGUUUGCUAAACAGAGAUUCUCUUCAAAUGCUGAUAAGUCAUCAGAAAGAGCCCCUUUAUCCAUUUUAAAUGUCCAACUUGGAGACAGUGCUGUCUAUUACUGUGCUCUGGAUACCACAGUGAUGUAUUAAUGCUAGAGCUCAUACAAAAACCUGUUUCAUCUUUUUACACACAAUGUGCUUUAAAGGCCCAACUGAAAAACACUGAGGUUUACCGCAGCAGGAAAUAAUGUUGGCAGGCGCUGUAGGUAUUUUUGAGCUCUGUCUGACUGGCAAGAGUUACAGUAAUUAAGGUUUCAAGGGAGGUAAGUUAAAUCCAGUGAGGCUACAAUGCAAGAGAGACUUUUCCCAGUGUGUGCAGUAAUAUAGCACCAGCAGUGUGGGAUUGGCUCUAGAUGAUUCAUCACACCAAGAUCCUUUUCCAUUGUUUCUUUAGAACAGAAGGAAGAGCAGUGACAGUCAUCCAAAUUGGGUCUGACCAAGGCCUUUGGAAAGGGCUCUCCCACAUUAGGCCUCACUACUGCAUCACCGAAGUCCUUCAGCAUCCCUCCAGCAGCUGUCCUGCCUCACAGAUGGAUCACAGGUCCAAACAAGCCGUUACCUCUACCACGUCAUUGAGGGGACAACUAGCUGCAUCCACCAGCUGCCAUAAUGUUGCUAUUGUAGUUGAAGAUAAGCUGUCAGAGAUGGAAAGCGUUUUUCCACCAGUUAUGUCCAGCGACAGCCCGUUAAUGACGAACUCUUCCAGGAACCAAUGCAGCAAAGUUAUGGAUUUUUUCUCUUUUAAAUUAAACCCAGACCUUAAAAAAGGUCAUUGAUAGGAACCAGGUAACCCAGAACUAUCUAUUGUAAGGAGAUUCAUUAAAAACAUCAGUAUUCAUACCAUCACUAAACUGCUCACUGUGCAUAAAAUUUCACAAG